CCGCCUGCCACUCACUUUCAACUUGGUUUGAAUCCCUGGCACUUAAAUGGCUCUGCUAUUCAGUCUUUGUUUUCUGUGUCUUCCCACUCUAUUUGGAAAUCUUACUGAUGACCUCAGACUGUGCACUUGGAUUUGACGCCCUGUGUGCUCCUUUCCUGUUGCCACGGAGUCAUUAGACUUGGAGCACAUCAUCUCUCUCCAGAGUUACAAUAUCUGUGCUUUCUAACCUCCUGGGUUUGGGUCUGUGCCUGCCAGACUUUCACUGUCUUCAAGGUCCUUUCAGUUGGACUCCUGAUCUUGGCUUUCAAUGGUCUGCCCCAGCUGGCUCUGUGACAGUUUCCAAUACUCAGCAGACAUGAGAGAAGGCCUCCCUUUCCUGUUACAGCUUUUGAUUGUCUACUUCCUGCCACUGAGACAUAAAUUCCACGAGUGCAGAGUUUUGUCUGGUUUUCUCAGAGUUAUAUCCCAUCCUUCUAGAAGACUGUCUGGUCCACAGGAGGAUCAAUAAAUAUAUGACAUGUGAAUGGAUAAAUGAAUGAAUAUGGAUAACCCCUGCAGGGGCAAACUGGGGGAUUGGAGACAGAGAGAGAGAGAGAUUCAGCUUAAGGACUGGCUUCUGACAGUAGGAGCUCAAAUCUUCUGUCUCAACUCUAGUUACUUCUCCAAUAAAUCCAAGUUGCCAUUAC
rnacentral:lncRNA from 1 species